rnacentral:rRNA from 1 species
ACGCUGGCGGCGUGCCUAACACAUGCAAGUCGAACGCGAAAGCCCCGCAAGGGGUAAGUAGAGUGGCAAACGGGUGAGUAACACGUGGGUGACCUGCCUUCGAGUGGGGGAUAACGUCCCGAAAGGGACGCUAUUACCGCAUGACAUCCUGCUUUUUAAGAGGCGGAGAUCAAAGCCGGGGAUCGCAAGACCUGGCGUUCGAAGAGGGGCCCGCGCCUGAUUAGCUAGUUGGUGGGGUAACGGCUCACCAAGGCAACGAUCAGUAUCCGGCCUGAGAGGGCGGACGGACACACUGGGACUGAGACACGGCCCAGACUCCUACGGGAGGCAGCAGUGGGGAAUUGUUCGCAAUGGGCGCAAGCCUGACGACGCAACGCCGCGUGGAGGAUGAAGACCUUCGGGUCGUAAACUCCUUUCGAUCGAGACGAAUGGUUUCCGGGUGAACAAUCCGGGAGAAUGACGGUACCGAGAGAAGAAGCCCCGGCUAACUCCGUGCCAGCAGCCGCGGUAAUACGGGGGGGCAAGCGUUGUUCGGAAUUACUGGGCGUAAAGGGCUUGUAGGUGGCCAACUAAGUCAGACGUGAAAUCCCUCAGCUUAACUGGGGAACUGCUUCUGAUACUGGAUGGCUUGAGUUUGGGAGAGGGAUGCGGAAUUCCAGGUGUAGCGGUGAAACGCGUAGAUAUCUGGAGGAACACCGGUGGCGAAGGCGGCAUCCUGGACCAACACUGACACUGAAAAGCGAAAGCCAGGGGAGCAAACGGGAUUAGAUACCCCGGUAGUCCUGGCCCUAAACGAUGAAUGUUUGGUGUGGCGGGUAUCGAUCCCUGCCGUGCCGAAGCUAACGCAUUAAACAUUCCGCCUGGGGAGUACGGUCGCAAGGCUG